CGCCCCCGGCCGCCGGCCCCGCCGCCCUCCGCCGGCACGUAGCCCGCCAUGCACGUGCGCGCCGCGGGUCGCCGGAGGAACUGAAGCCGAGUGGAUAGCAGCUGGCCAGGCCACCAGCAGCAGAACAAGGUAAUCAAGUGAGGACGACGAUUAAUACGAGCACGUAAUUAUCGGGCAGCUUAGGUUCCUGAAUUUUUGCAACGAACCUGUGGUGGAAGCUCCCACAUCGAUGCAUCGCCCCCCAGUGCUCUAGCUUUCAGUUACGGGCCAGGUUUUACCCCGUCCUAGCUGCAAGAUAACUUUCUUUUUUAAGAAAAAGUAAUUAACUUGUGUCUGGUUUUUAAGAAGAAUAUGUUAAUUUGAGUAGAUAUCUGCAUGCAGGAGCCUGAAUUGGUGAUUUCCAUUUUAAAAUAGCCUGAAACGCUCGGUUCCUUCUAAAAGGAGCGCAAAUUCUUACUGAUUGGGCUUUUUAUUCCUAAUAAGAAAAGUGAGGUGGCUUUUUUUAUUUGAAAAUGGGAAGAUAUUGAUUCUUUUGGAUUGAUGCUUCCUAUGGCUGAUAUUCCAUUUAGGAUCGAACAAUCUUUUUUCAAGAGAGGAUACCGGAGAUGCUCAAAUUGUAUUUGUUUAUGCGCUGAGCUAUUUAUCUCCAGAUUUGCUAUGAUUUAGUCAAAGAAAAAAAAACAAUAGACAAAUUAAAUGUUCUUGAUAGAGAAAUCAAGUGUUCCAGGAAAUCAGAAAAAAUUAUAUCAUUAUGGAUAGAUCUAAAGUGCUGAUUAAUGCAACGGCUAGAAAAGUGACAUAUUUUGGGUGAUAAUAUCCCAACAAUUAAAUGGAUGGUCCCUUCAUUUAUAUAUCAUUACCAAGAUUGUUCAUGCGACCCCUUUUCCUGAAUUGAGAUUUACUGACCGCAAGAUUAUUCUAUGGGGGGUGUACUGGUACUAUAUCUGAACCCUACAUGUAUAAUACAAUAAUGAACACAUUUGCGGUGAAGGAGAAUUCCCUUGUGUUUGUAUAUACAAGCCACAAUUACGUGGUGAUGUUUAGUUAUGUAUCCCAUCCGUUUAUGCUAUGCAUCUAUCUUUCAAUCUUUCUCCUUUAGCUCUUGCAUUUGCACAUAAAAAUAAAACAAAAUAAAAUCUCACAAUACAUGUCUCUCUCCACAGCCGUCCGAUUGCAAUUCAGAGGGUAUUCCCUAUUUUCCCAUGCGGGGUUAAUCCCUAAAUAACCACUUCACAUACAACACAAAGUAUUGGUCUUGUAAACAGGUAUACUAGUUCAUGGUUGAAGCUAUAUGAUAUGCUUGACAUGCAUUUGGUGUUUGGAACCCAAAGUACUCAAUGGGUUUGUUGAGUAUGGAUAACUCUUUGCUAGCAUAGAUACUAGCACAAUGUGGACCACUCCAUCCACACAAAAGCGUGUGGGGGCCUGUGUGUGAGUGGCUGCCCAGCACCUUGUGCUCUUGUCGCCACAAGUUGCAAAAGACAGUGUGGCCGUCGCCACAUGGACUUGACUUGGAUAUGCACGAAUAGUGGUCCACAUUAUAACACAAAAGUAAUUCUCGCUCAUAAUAACACAAAAAGAUAUCUCCAUUUAGCUAGGGAUGUAAUAUAGGUGGCGUUUGGUUCCCUUUACUUAUUUUUAGCACAUAUCAUAUCAAAUGUUUAGAUACUAAUUAGGAGUAUUAAACGUGAACUAUUUAUAAAACUAACUGCACAGACGGAGGCUAAAUGGCGAGACGAAUCUAUUAAGCCUAAUUAAUCCAUCAUUAGCAAAUGUUUACGGUAGCACCACAUUGUCAAAUCAUGGACUAAUUAGGUUUAAUAGAUUCGUCUCGCCGUUUAGCCUCCACUUAUGUAAUGGGUUUUGUAAGUAGUCUAUAUUUAAUACUUCUAAUUAGUAUCUAAACAUUCAAUGUGGCGGGUGUUAAAAAUAAGCGAGAGUAACCGGGCCAUAAACAUGUCACUUCUUCCUUCUCGGAACGCAAAUAUCUAAGAUCGAUGAUAGAUGGCCGAGGAUGGAAGAGGACGGCCAACAAAAAGGGAGGCAAUCACAAUUCUAGUGUACAGAUGACAGCUAGAGGAGUAGCACUUUUCCUAGAGUACUGUAAAGGGGUCGCAUUUUAUUGCAUUUGAACAAUAAUAGUACAACAUUAAUCUUACAAUUAUUAUUGUCGCUUUAAGUACAUGAAAAAACCCAAGAGCUGGAUGUGCAUGUGCUUAACUCUAUCCUAUUCUUGUUACUAGAACAAUAUAGCACCAUACCAUGCCACUACAGUUAACACAGUGAAACACCUCAGAUACUUGCCCACAUUACACUUAUUUCUUCAGGAUAUUAUAUUAUAUCCAAUAAACAAAUGAAUAAUUAUUUUUUACCACACUAAUGUUUUUUUUUUUACUUUUAAGCCGCUGGAGAUGACUUGGGCGCCUUGACGGCCUCGAACCUUGGCUCCUUGGCCUGGAACUUCUGCUUGGCGUACACGUCCAUGUAGUCGCCGAAGACGUACUUGGGGUAGGCUUCGCCGCCGGCCGCCACCGCCGGCGAGAUGGUGGCCUCGUUGGCCGGGUUGUAGAAGGAGGCGAUGGAGCGGCGGUUGGCGUUGCGCAUGGGGAGGACGCGGUGCCACGCGCUGCGGUAGCGGCCGUUGCUGAGCACCUCGAUCUGGUCGCCGGUGUUGACGACGAUGGCGCCGGCGAGCGGCUGCACGUCCGUCCACUGGCCGUCCUUGAGCACCUCCAGGCCGCCGACCUGGUCGUCCUGGUACAGCAGGAUGACGCCGCCGGCGUCCGUGUGCGCGCGGAGGCCCGUGACGAGGUCCGGGCGCGGGCACGGCGGAUAGUGGCUGACCUUGGUGCCGAAGAAGGGCUCGUGGCGGCCGUCGCCGGAGAAGGCGCGCUGGAUGGCGCCCUUCUCAAGGCCGAGGUUCUCGUCCAUGGCCUCCAUGACGCGCCCGGCGAGCUUCCUCAGCUCGGCGCGGUACUCGCGCAUGGUCUCCUUGAACUCCGGCGGGUUCGACGGCCACUGGCUGCCGUCGUGGAUGUAGAAGAUGUCCUCCCAGUCCAUGUCGUCCA
rnacentral:lncRNA from 1 species